rnacentral:lncRNA from 1 species
UACAGGGUUUUUCCUGCGUUCAAAAUUGCGUGGCGGCCGCCUCCACCUAAUUUUGUGCCGCCCCCAGUCAGAGCGAUUGAUUUCGCUCAACACAGCGUAAAGCUCCAGCUGUGUUGAUUGAGCGAUUGAUGUCCCGAUGCAGCAGCAACGUAUUUUAACUGCAGUUGCAGCGUUGCGCCACUAUAGAGGCGCUAUAUCAACAGCAGUGCACCGGAAAGACUUGAAGCAUCUACCGAAGAAGAAACGGAUCGAAUCAUGUUUUUUCAAGUGUUUUUCCCGCUAGUUGGUGCUAUCGGCGUCCUGAUUUUCCCUGGCGGAUGGUACAAACAGGUAAAUACUGCUUCUCUUUUUUGCAUCCAAGCAUGUCGUGUUUAUUUAAAAAAAAAGUUUACUCCGUUUUUAGCGUUGCAGAUAUGACAGGCAAAAUCAGCCAGUACUUUAAAAAGCGACCUCGCGAGGAGGAAAGUCAAGAGUCCAGGUGAAACACAGCAGAGAAAAAACGUAACAGGCAGUUAAAAUGCUAUAAUUCAUGUUGGUGACAACGUGGAAAUUUGUGUCAGGUCUGAAAGUACUUCACAAGGGACUGGUGAUCGCGAGGGUCAGAAUGCAGGACAGGACGAGUCGGCGAGGUGAGGGUAAUUAAUUAAUUAGUUUUCAAUUAGGAGCAUAACAACGCAAAGCCGACGUGUACGUGGUUUUUAUUCCUCUUUCCAGAUCUUCUCAAAAACACAGAGCCAGUGGCUUUGACAAGCAGUGGCUCAAUCAAUUUACCUGGCUCAGGCAUACUGAGGAAGGCAUGCACUGCUAUUUAUGCCAAAAGCACUGUGCCCCAACACAGCAGGCAAUUGCUGCCUCCUUAGUGAGACAGCCAUCAACCAACUACAGGCUGGACACAUUAAAAAGACAUGAGGUGACAGCCAUUCACAAAGCAGCAGAAGAGAAGGAGAAAUAUAUUAAAGAUGGUAGUACCUAAAAAAAACUCAACUAAUAAAGUUACAAAAAAUAAAUAACAUAGUUUAGAUAGUUUAAGAAAUAAUUGGUUGUCGUUUUUUUUUUUUAGAGAGGACACUGCAGCGUAUACAUAUAUAUGAUUGAAAACACUAUCACUCUUCAUGUCUGUAUCAGAAUAAAAACAAAAAUACUUAAUGCAUGAUGAACUGUUUUGUUUAAGGUGAAGACACCUCUGUGGAACAGACUGAAGGAGAGGCACUUGGAUGUCUGUUGUAAGGUGGCCGUUGAUGGACCAGACCAGGAGGCCUUGGACUACAAGGAGUGCAUGAGGAGGUUCUACAGAAUGAAAAAGAGGAGGCUGAAAUGUUCUGUCUGGUUGCGAGAUGUGUGGAUGAAGUGUACUUUCAAUUUAAAGUUGCCAGCUGAUUUGUGUAUGUAUAUAGUUUUAAUAAAUGAAUGCUUUAACAUAAUAAUGGUCACACUCUUUUUUUAGUCUUAAAGUAACUUAAAGUAUGUUGCCUGUAAAAGAAAGUGAAUCGGUUGAAUUUACAAAUACAUGCACGUCGUGGCGCACGGUCAGGAUGGUGCCACCUCCGCCUCAAUUUGAGCCAGGAAAAACCCUGA